GUAAGAACAACGUAGCUGGAUGGAAAAGACUGAGAAGCAAAGGCGAAGCAGACAAUCACAGUUUCAAGAGCUGCUGGCUUCUCUCUCCACCACCUCUCUGUGUCAGAAAGUUCAGAAAAAGCAGGAUUUUUCCCUGUUCAUGAGUUAUAAACCAGUCUAGAGUUUGCAUCCAUCAACUUGACAAAAUGCCUUUCUCAUCAUGGAUCAAAGCUAUUUUCAUCAUUUUCUUUGUAUUUUUUCUUUAUUCUGAUGCUUCCUUACAAUUUGCACUAAGAAGUGACAUGACAAACUGUAUUUGGUACAUACUUGCACCACAUUCUUGUACUGGGGAAAUUGAGCCGGUCAACCAGUGGCCAAACUUAUCUUAAUAAAUGUACUCUCUGCAGUGAAAAGAUGCUUCUUCAUGAAAAUUUUGAAUAUGAUCAUUUUGGUGUUUACGAAUUAUUAUCCAUAUAUCCUAAUGUAAGCUCAUUGUGCAGUGGAUUCCACAAUUAGAAUUAGUAGAGUUCUCUCAGUUGGGAACUUAAAUUAAUAGAUGAUUAGAUAAAUCCUCUUACGGAACAUGAAACGAAAUACAGGAUGCUGAAAAUUAUUGCCAACUUUAAGACUUUUUGAUUUCGGGAUUUUGAUCUUCCAUGUUCAAUUACUCAAUAAUAGUUUUAAAAACUAGUAUCUUAAGUAUAUGUUUCCCAUCAUAAAACCUAAUACAACUUAAAAUCCUAGAUAUUUCAUUCAAAAAGUUAAAUGAUUUUGUCCUUAUUAAAAUCUUUCUUUUUUACAAUUGAGGCAAUAUUUUCCAUUAGAAUAUAAAAGGACAUUCAUCUAGUCCUAUAGCCUUUUCUUCGCAGAAGCUUCUAACUCCUCAGCAAACACUGUAUACUCAUGCAUGUGCUCUUUUUAAUUUUUAUUCAACAUAUCACAAAAAGCCUGCUGUGUGUGAGGCACUGUAUCAGACAAUAAGGAAAAGACAGUCCGUAAAAUUAAGCAUCAGUCUUCGCUAGGAUCUUUCACUGUAUUGGCUAAAGUUACUGUCUCUUAGCAAAUGGGACCUCUUUUUCUUUGAGCAUUUCUAUCUACAAAAGCUGUGUCAGGGAGUUUUCCAGGUAUUAUCUAACUCCGUUCUUACAAAGAUUUCACUAGACACUGGCUCCAUACUUUAGCCAUAUGAAACUGAGAUAGGGAGGCCCACAAUAUUGAAACCCUGCCAUGUUGAUACUGAAAGGGCAAUUUUAGUAGAGAACUUACUAUUACUUUAAAAGCUUAUUUAUUGAAAUAUUUACUUACCAAAAUCUUAAACAUUUUCAGGUAUAUUACUAUGAUUUUUGUAAAUAUACAGGGACUACCACCAUCACAGCAAUUCAAUUUAAGAUUAUUUAAGAUUAUUACCCCCAAAAGAUUUUUCUGAUCUGACUGCAGUUAAUCCCUCUUCCCACUCCCUUCCCCAGGCAGCCACUAAUCCACAUUCUUUCCACAUUGUUUUGCCUUCUCAGGAUAUUUCAUAUGUAGAAUGAAGGCGAUGUAGGCAUUUAUAAUUUGCUUCUUUCACUGGGCAUAAUAAUUGGAAGUUUAUACACUUUAAACCAACUUUAUACCACCUGUGAGUAGUUGAUUAUUUUAAAAUGAUGAAUGAUGUUCCAUUGUGCAUUGAUAAACCACAUUAUGUUUAUUUACUAGUUCGGGCAUUUGAAUUAUUUCCACUUUUCAGCUAUUAAGACUAAUUCUUCAUGAACAUUUAGUGUGUAAGUACUUGUGUGGACCAAUGUUUUUUGUUUCUUCUUCUCUUGGGUAA